rnacentral:tRNA from 1 species
ACUUUAUAGGAUAGUAGUAAUCCAUUGGUCUUAGGAAUCAAAAACUUGGUGCAACUCCAAAUAAAAGUA